rnacentral:antisense_RNA from 1 species
GACCCAUAGCUACUCCAUCCCGAGUAGCCAUGGGCUUACCAUAGAAGGAACAAACUCUUAAUCUUAGAACUGUUUUAGGCAGUGGGCGUGAUGGUUAAAAACUCGGCCUUUGGCGUCAGACCUCAGACGGAGAUCUACCAAUUAGGAAAUUAGCUGUGAUUUAGAAAAUUUAAUAUUUCGAUGCCAUACUUUCCUAAUCCGCAAAAUAUUUGUAAAUACCUGUGACCUAGUGUCGUGAGCGCUUAGCAACACCUGACACACACUAAGCUCUCAAUAAGUGGUAGCUUUAGUAUUACCAUUAUAUCCCAAUUAGUACAAGCACCUUACCUUUAUGCUUUCAUGGUUGUUCUAGGCCAGUGGUUCUGAAAGUGGUUCUAGACCAGCAACAACAGCAGUAGCAGCAGCACCUGUGAACUUGUUAGAAAUGCAAAGUUUCAGGCCCGUUCCAGUUCUACUGAAUCUGAAACUCGAAGGGAACAGCAACCUAUGUUUUAAUAAACCCCAAGGUAUAUACCCAGUGAUAUGAAUGCUGGAUCAUAAGACAGAAACAAUGUAUUACUACAUUUUUGUUGCUGGGGAAAAGAACUGACUUGAUGUACUUCCUCAGAAGAGAGACAGAACACCAGGAAAGAAAAUACAGAUUUCCCCAGACUCUACCUGCUAUCACCAUUUUGUUGUAAUACACCUUAACUCAGAAUAAACAGAAGAGUCCAAGAACCUCUGGUUGUUUGCAGAUGGUCGCCAGAGAACCAUGAUGACAAAGAGGAUCAUGGAGAACAGCAAGCGCCAGAUGGCAUCGUCUACCCACAGCUCCCGCCAGUCCUACAAUACGGGGGAGAAGUACAUCAUUUAUACAUGUUAUCUUAACCCCUUGUUCAUAAAGCCUUUGGCAUAGAACAAAAA